rnacentral:rRNA from 1 species
GAUCAUGGCUCAGGACGAACGCUGGCGGCGUGCUUAACACAUGCAAGUCGAACGGAAAGGCCCUGCUUUUGUGGGGUGCUCGAGUGGCGAACGGGUGAGUAACACGUGAGUAACCUGCCCUUGACUUUGGGAUAACUUCAGGAAACGUGGGGCUAAUACCGGAUAGGAGCUCCUGCUGCAUGGUGGGGGUUGGAAAGUUUCGGCGGGUUGGGGAUGGACUCGCGGCUUAUCAGCUUGUUGGUGGGGCAGUGG